rnacentral:rRNA from 1 species
AUAGCGUAUAUUAAAGUUGUUGCAGUUAAAAAGCUCGUAGUUGAACUUCUGGCUGAUGCGGAUUCUGGCUUCGGUCGUUUCCGUAUCAGUCAUCCGCUUGGGAACUCCGUUCGAACUUCACUGUUCGGCGGAAGGAACAGGCAUUUUACUUUGAAAAAAUUAGAGUGUUCAAGGCAGGCUAUCGCCCUGAAUACACAAGCAUGGAAUAAUGAAAUAGGACUGGUUCCAUUUUAUUGGUUAUUGGACUAGUAAUGAUUAAUAGGGACAGUUGGGGGCAUUAGUAUUUAAUUGUCAGAGGUGAAAUUCUUGGAUUUAUUAAAGACUAACUUCUG